rnacentral:misc_RNA from 1 species
GAUGAAGAACGUAGCGAAAUGCGAUACUUGGUGUGAAUUGCAGAAUCCCGUGAACCAUCGAGUCUUUGAACGCAAGUUGCGCCCGAAGCCAUUUGGUUGAGGGCACGUCUGCCUGGGCGGCACAUAUCGUUGCCCGAUGCCUAUUGCACUGUGAUAGGAAAUUCUAGGGCGAAAGAUGGCUUCCCGUGAGCGUUGUUGCCUCGCGGUUGGUUGAAAAUCGAGUCCUUGGUAGGGUGUGCCAUGAUAGAUGGUGGUCGAGUUUGCACGAGACCGAUCAUGUGUGCGCUCCCCAAAAUAUGGACUCUUUGACCCCACACGCGUCUUUUGACGCUAAUGACGAGACCUCAGGUCAGGCGGGGCUACCCGCUGAGUUUAAGCAUAUCAAUAAGCGGAGGA